UACAAUAUAAGAAAUUUCAUUACUAUGGAAAAAUCAGUUUUACCCUUGCCUAAGAAGCUGCCACCUGUUCAAAUUAGGGGUAUUUGCAGUCCAAAAAAUUACUAACUGAACCAAAAUAAAAAGUAACCGAGCCAUAUGGCUCACUAACUGAGCCAUAUUCCCACUUUGUGAGACAAAAAGAAACUUGAUUGCAAGCCAUGGUUGGAACUGAACUAUGCCAAUUGAAUUUCAAGUUGUGACUUUACAUCACAUCAUAACUUUUUUAUAGGAAAAAACAAAACUGACAAAGUAAAAGACAUUUCCCACUCUUACACCUUUUCAUUCAAAUUCAAAUUCAAAUUUACAAAGUUUUCCCACUCUUUAUAAUUUACAUCUCAUUAUAUGCUCAUUCUCAUUUUUAAAACUUCUCUCUUAUCUCUUCUUUCUCUCCUCAUCUUUAACUACACUUCUCUACUAACUUGAUUUUUGUGUUUUGCAGAAAAAUGAAGAUAUUCAACGCUAUGGAACAACAACAACAACAACAACAACAACGCGGGUAUGAUGAUCAAACCCAUUUUUCUAUACUCAUUUUUCUUGUCUUUUUUUUCUUUCAUAACAUGUUUACUAAAUAAUUUUUUUUUCUUGAACUUCAACUCAGCAAAGUUACAUCAAGAUCAAGGUAUGAAGAAUAACUCUCAUAUUUAGUUUUAAUACAAUUUCUCCGAUGAUAAUAUAUCACACUUUUUUCUUCAUUUUUAUUAUUUCAUCCCUUAUCUUUCCAACAAUUGCAAAGAAAGACAUAGAAUGCAUACCAAGAAAGAAAAACACCGGAAACAAAACACUUUCAAGAAAUAAAACAGGAAAACAAAACACAUACCGAGAAAUUGGAAGAAGUUAAAUCUGGAUAGAAGAAGAUGAAGCCACAACCCCAUAUUGGGAAAAAAAAAUCCAAUAAGAAGCUUACAUGAUGAAUGUCAUGCAUCUGGUAUUAAACUCCAUUAAUGAGUUCAAAGUUGACCGGAGUG